rnacentral:rRNA from 1 species
GACGAACGCUGGCGGCGUGCUUAACACAUGCAAGUCGAACGGAAAGGCCCUGCUUUUGUGGGGUGCUCGAGUGGCGAACGGGUGAGUAACACGUGAGUAACCUGCCCUUGACUUUGGGAUAACUUCAGGAAACUGGGGCUAAUACCGGAUAGGAGCUCCUGCUGCAUGGUGGGGGUUGGAAAGUUUCGGCGGUUGGGGAUGGACUCGCGGCUUAUCAGCUUGUUGGUGGGGUAGUGGCUUACCAAGGCUUUGACGGGUAGCCGGCCUGAGAGGGUGACCGGCGACAUUGGGACUGCGAGACGGACCAGAGUCCAACGGGAGGCAGCAGUGGGGAAUAUUGCACAAUGGGAGGAAGCCUGAUGCAGCAACGCCGCGUGCGGGAUGACGGCCUUCGGGGUGUAAACCGCUUUCGCCUGAGACGAAGCGUGAGUGACGGUAAUGGGUAAAGAAGCACCGGCUAACUACGUG